GACGAACGCUGGCGGCGUGCCUAAUACAUGCAAGUCGAGCGAAGUUUUUCUGGUGCUUGCACUAGAAACACUUAGCGGCGAACGGGUGAGUAACACGUAAAGAACCUGCCUCAUAGACUGGGACAACUAUUGGAAACGAUAGCUAAUACCGGAUAACAGUAUUUCUCGCAUGAGAGAUAUUUAAAAGUUGGUUAUGCUAACACUAUGAGAUGGCUUUGCGGUGCAUUAGCUAGUUGGUGGGGUAAAGGCCCACCAAGGCGACGAUGCAUAGCCGACCUGAGAGGGUGAUCGGCCACACUGGGACUGAGACACGGCCCAGACUCCUACGGGAGGCAGCAGUAGGGAAUCUUCCGCAAAGGGCGAAAGCCUGACGGAGCAACGCCGCGUGAGUGAAGAAGGAUUUCGGUUCGUAAAGCUCUGCUGUUAGGGAAGAAUGGAUAUGUAGUAACUAUACAUGUAAGAGACGGUACCUAACCAGAAAGCCACGGCUAACUACGUG
rnacentral:rRNA from 1 species